rnacentral:lncRNA from 1 species
CAAAAAGCAAGAAGCAAGCAACUCUUUCUUCAAAACUAAAGCCAUUUCCAUUCUUGAUAGUAAGUCAGCCUAAAGAACAAGUCCAAAAAAAUCCAGAGUACGAGCUUAAAGAAACCAUUUUCACUUCUUUUUUUCCUAAAGGAACACUAAAUCAUAGAGGAAGAACAAUUUCGAUGGCAGCACCAUUUAGAACUACAUUCUGUGGCUAAUUGCUGUGAAGUGAGGAGCAAAAUCUCAUUUCUUUCAGUCUAUAUCAGAGACUUGUUCAGAGCCUGCAACACAAACCUAAGGAUUCCAGAUUCCCAUACUCUGCUUUGGCCAUUUUAUUUCACCUGUUAGCUAUUUUAUGACAAGAAAAAUUGAGGCUGGAGGAAGAACUCUACCAACUGAAGAAAGAUGACUUUCACAACUGGCAAUUUAAGACAGACUGUCCCUGCACCAGCAUAAUGCAGCUCACGCCCAAGGAGAACACGGUGACAAGGCACUAUUUCUGCUGCUCUGUGCCUGGACUGACGUCAGAUCACUGUUGCCAGGCAUUCAGGGUAUGCACGCUGCCUGUAGCAAAGCAAAAGCAACCAACCAAGCAAAAGAAAAUAAAAUUACUUGCUGGCAAAUGGUAACUCUCUAUAGUAGAGAUGAAGUUUUAGCUCUGGUCCCACCUGCUGCAGAACACUGCAUUCCCUGGAAAAGAUCAUUUGGAAGCUGCC